rnacentral:rRNA from 1 species
CGGGGUGAGUAACGCGUGGAUAACCUGCCUUACACUGGGGGAUAACACUUAGAAAUAGGUGCUAAUACCGCAUAAGCGCACAGAGCCGCAUGGCUCAGUGUGAAAAACUCCGGUGGUGUAAGAUGGAUCCGCGUCUGAUUAGCUGGUUGGCGGGGUAAAGGCCCACCAAGGCGACGAUCAGUAGCCGGCCUGAGAGGGUGAACGGCCACAUUGGGACUGAGACACGGCCCAAGCUCCUACGGAAGGCAGCAG